rnacentral:rRNA from 1 species
CGAAGCCUGACGCAGCCAUGCCGCGUGAAUGAUGAAGGUCUUAGGAUUGUAAAGUUCUUUCGCCCGUGACGAUGAUGACGGUAACGGGAGAAGAAGCCCCGGCUAACUUCGUGCCAGCAGCCGCGGUAAUA